rnacentral:lncRNA from 1 species
GAUAAACUGCCAAACCAGAACUUUACACCCAGAGAAAAUCUCUUUAAGAUUAAAAUCAAAAUACAGACAUUUUCAAAAUGAUGAAGUUUAUUAUCAAUGGGCCCUAAACUGUUAAAGAACGAUUUUAAGGAAAAUGAUCCCCAAAAGAAGGUCAGAGAUAUAAGAAAAAGUAAGCAAAGAAAAAGGAGGAGGAGAAGAAACAGGCUUACGCUGAGCGAAUCCAAUGUGCAGACAGACACACAGGGAAGGUGACCAUUUGAAGACAGAGGCAGAAACUGCAGUUGUGCAACUGCAAACCAAGAAAUGCCAUGGAUUGCCAACAACCACCAGAAACUAGAAGAGGCAAGGUAAGGUUCAGCAAAGUCUAUGUCAUUCUCUAAUCCUUUUGAUCCAGCGGAUUCUUUGGAGGAAUUUGAAUACAUAUUGGAUUUUGCAUCCAGGUUUGCAAGAGGAAAAUACAAAGGUGACUUCUGGGCCUGCUGGAGGUGGAGGGUAGAGGAUGGACAGCUGACAUCUAGUCACAGAGGAAAGAACACAGAAAGAGAUCUCCAGUUAAAGCUGAUAGAUUGAACCACACACAACCCACCUCCUUCUAAAAUCCCUCUAGAACAAUGGUUUAAAAAAAGUACUUUAACAUAAAGCUUCAAAAUCAAAAAGAUAAGGAAAAUGAUGAAAACCACUCAGAUAAGAAGAGAGGAUAUUUAUGCAGAGGCUGCCGUCGUUGGGAGUCCGCCACCAUACCACCAUACUUUGGUGAGACUUGAAGGCAGGCAGGGAGUGGAAACACUUUAUGCUGUAGUGAACAAAGGGGAAGGCUUCGGUAUGCUCUGACUGGAGAUCAUUGUCAUGGGGAAACUGCAGGUGGGCUAACUAGAGGCUGGGCUUCUUGUGUAAUGGUUUGGCUUUCUCUGGUUGGUCCUGUGUUGAAAAUAGGGGCAAAAUAUAGGGAAGCUGACUCAUUGACCAAGCCCUGCCCAGGCUGGCCGAUUGCAGAGGUUGUGGGUCAGAGUUCUAUUGUCAUAUAUGGUCUGGCUACUGUCUGUUUAUAUAAUCCGUCUCUCAGAGAACAGUAGAGGAGAUCAAAUUAUUAACAUUUUGGAAGCUGGAAAGCAGGAGGAUAGUGUGAGCUGAAUUAGCAGACUUGCCAUCUAUCAAAGGGGAUAGCCAAAAGCAAGCCAGAUUUGCCCCAGAGAACCACCAAAGGUUCAAGAAUUGGCAGCACCAGGUGCCCCCAGAAGCAGGGAUAAAGUGGGGGCUGAAAUUGGACAGUUGGUUCAAAGUCUAUUUCAGAAGCAUUAGACCACUGGAUUUCUUCCCCAGCUCCCAAAUGACUGCCUGGUGCAAAAGACUCAGGACUGAUUCCCUGGAGAGAGUAGGUAGUUCUUUGUCUAGUUAAGGAUAGGAUGCCAUAACAAACAUGCCAAUUCAGUGAAAGUACCUACUUUCAAGACUCCUGCUUAACUCCCCUAAAUCAGCAGCCAAUGUUAGAAGCCAAGUGUUAAAGUUUUUCAGAUAAUUUUGCUAUAAGCCUAUGGGGAAAUUUCAUUACCAUCUCAUAGCAAGGCCUAUAGUAUAAGAGCAGGCCUAUAGUAGCAUAUGGGGGAAAGUCUAAAAGACUUUGAAAUGGACCAAAAGAUUAUUGAGAAAUGGAAAACUGCAUUGUUUUAAGUAUCCCUUUCCAACUUAUCAGAUUCUGUGGGGUUUAUACCUUUCAUUGUCCUUGAGGUAUUUAACAAUUCUAAAGAGAUAGACUCUAACUUGUAGAAAACUAAGAGUAACAUAAAUAAUUAUCAUCUUUAGAUAUACAAAUAAAUUCCGUUCUGAG